GUAUUUAAAUUUCAGGCUGGAGAAGAACCUCGAACCGUUCUGCAGGACAAUCAUGAAGUGGUUCUCUUCAAGUUAUAAGAUCGCCGUUUUGGGCUGCUGCUGGGGAAAUCGGGCAAGUAAAAUGGAGUCUUCAAGGCAAAACUGAAUGAAGACGUGUGGAUACUGAUCAUUUACUCAAGUUUGCUACAAAUUUUGACAGACCCUGGAACACAACAAUGUUUCGAUUUCUGAAUCGAGGAUGCAAGUGAUGUAUUGAAGACCAAUCAAGGAUGAUUUCAGUAACUCUGUUGGUCCAACGCUUACUGUUGUACACUGCCUCUGGAUUUCUGCGUAUUCAACCAGGAAGAAAUGUCAACUUUAGUACAUAACCCACAGCAUACCAUUGGUAGCAUGUUUAUAUAGACUUAUAAAAAGUCAGUCCUUGACACUGACUGUAGUUACUAUAGGAUUUGGAAAUUUUCAUUUGAACAGAGCUUAUUUACAAUUGACUGACUUGAGUAACUUAAACAAUCGGUCCUUAAUGCUGCCAGCGUUCACAAGAGGAUUUGGUAACUUUCGGUUAUAGUGUGCUAGGAAUGCUUUUCAUAUGAGGAGAGAAUUACAACCUAGUUAUUCUACAACAUCCUGAAACAAAAUUGGUCGACAGCAGUUUGCAGAUUUUACAAGUACAAGUCAAUUUAUCGUAGACUACAUAAGAAACAAAUUUCCCAGUUUGUCGCCAUGCUGUGAAUAUGAACUUAACAGUCCAACUCAUUUGAAUUUAAAAAGUUGUAACUUCCUUCAAUGUGUGCAUUCAUGAAUUAACAGUCUUAAUACUUUGAACAAAAGUUUCAGUAAUGAAGGUUUUAUAUUCGUUCUUCGUGGUUGAAUAGCAAGUACUUUGGUCCCACAUUUAAACAAGACCCCUUUUCUGGCAAUAGACUUUUUCAGAAUAAGAUUUCUCUUAGUUUACAUAUUCAGGAAUUAGAGUUAGAUAUCAGAGGAAACAAAAAUAUUUAUAAAAUUCUGUAUAUUGAAUUAAAUUUCAAUUGGAUAUUUAUUGAAAUCUCGUCAGGGAUUUCAGUUCAUUUUUUUUUACGUGGCACUGUGAUAUGAGCAUGUUAUAAUAACGCAACCUAUAUUUGUGCAAGUCUUAAUCGUAUUAACCAAUUGAACUCGCAUUAAAAAAUGUUUGGCCAGAGGUGAUUAGAAUGCAUUUUCUGUGGUGUUGAAAAUUUUGAGGGCAGUCAACGUAAUUUCCAAACGUAAAAUUUUCCAUCAUGAAUCCAAUAAUCUCUCGACUAAUGGGUUUCUGGCAUAAAUUGGAGGUCGUUACACCUUAAAUCUAGAAAAGUCUUUCUUUGUGGGUUUCAGAA